AUUGACACAAAAGGGGCAACAAGAUACAUCAUAAGUCCCAAAAAUUACAUAAACACAAGUACAUACUAAUCCCUAACAUAAACGAGUAACGAAGAUUGCAAGAACAACAAUAGCAACAAUAAUGUACAUCCAUCGAAUUUUCAACUCCAUCUUCUUCAUUUUCUCAUGUAUUUCAUCAUCAACAGUGCAUACUUCAUCCUCUACAGUUGUAGCAUCA
rnacentral:lncRNA from 1 species